rnacentral:rRNA from 1 species
UACGGGGGGGGCAAGCGUUGUUCGGAAUUACUGGGCGUAAAGGGCUUGUAGGUGGCCAACUAAGUCAGACGUGAAAUCCCUCGGCUUAACCGGGGAACUGCGUCUGAUACUGGAUGGCUGGAGUGUGGGAGAGGGAUGCGGAACUCCAGGUGUAGCGGUGAAAUGCGUAGAUAUCUGGAGGAACACCGGUGGCGAAGGCGGCAUCCUGGACCAUUACUGACACUGAAAAGCGAAAGCCAGGGGAGCAAACGGG